rnacentral:rRNA from 1 species
AACGAACGCUGGCGGCAGGCUUAACACAUGCAAGUCGAACGGGUGCAGCAAUGCAUCAGUGGCAGUCGGGUGAGUAACACGUGGGAACCUUCCUAGAGGUACGGAACAACGCAGGGAAACUUGCGCUAAUACCGUAUACGCUCGAGAGAGGAAAGAUUUAUCGCCUUUAGACGGGCCCGCGUCGGAUUAGCUAGUUGGUGAGGUAACGGCUCACCAAGGCGACGAUCCGUAGCUGAUCUGAGAGGAUGAUCAGCCACACUGGGACUGAGACACGGCCCAGACUCCUACGGGAGGCAGCAGUGGGGAAUCUUGGACAAUGGGCGCAAGCCUGAUCCAGCCAUGCCGCGUGAGUGAAGAAGGCCUUCGGGUUGUAAAGCUCUUUUACCAGGGACGAUUAUGACGGUACCUGGAGAAUAAGCCCCGGCAAACUUCGUGCCAGCAGCCGCCGUAA